GUGCUGACUCAGGAGCACAUAUACUAAAAUUGGGACGAUAUUAAGAAUAUUAACACAGCUUCUGUGCAAAGAUGAAUGACAUACAAAAAUUAGGGACUUUUCUAUUUCUU